rnacentral:lncRNA from 1 species
GGGGGGAAGCACUAUAUAAAAGAUCCAGAAACCUCCAAAAAGAGGGAGAGAGACUGAGGCUUGCUUCUGAGAGAUUGUCAUCUUCUGGUCCCAGCGCUUGUCACUUUUAGAGUGUUUGUUGUAAUGUGUUGGGUGGUGUAAACACUAAAGAAGGUAUGCUGUGUGCUAACUUCUUUCGAGUAUGGUAACUCUGUGUGAAUAGUUGCCAUUAAUAGUUGGAGUGUUACAGUAACCCCUAGUUGUACACAGUUGUGCUAUGUUGGCCUGUGUGGCCAGAUUCACUGAUUGUUUUUCAAUUUUGUUCUGUUGUUAUUGUGAGAUUAUUUGUAGGGAGGAGGAUGUUCUUGGAUUUGAGAAUCUGUUUUCUCCUGUGUUUGAUUAGAGAUGGAGUAAGGGAAGCAUUUGUCUUUUUGUUUCAUUUCUUUUAAUGCUAGGUAAGGCAGUUUAACAAAUCCUCAGUUAGAGUUCCUUUUGUUUGUUGUUUUGGCUUUUUCCCCUCCUGAAGUCUUAUGUUUGUGUUCCACUGAUUAACUUAAAAUAAACCUUGUAUGUCUUUUCAUAUUUAAAACUGGUGUGGCGAUUUGUGUUUGUCCUGGGACCUGGAGACGGGAGUUCUCUCACUCUCUCCUCGCAAUUUUUGUUACGCUUCUUCCCGGCCCCUAGAUUAAAAAUGGGGAACGUAACAAGUCCCCCACCAAUACUUCCCUUACUCCCUCUCUAAUCAAACAUAGGAGAAAACAGAUUCUCAAAUUAAAGAACAUCCUCCUCCCUACAAAUAAUCUCACAAUAACAACAGAACAAAGUUGAAAAACAAUCUUAACAGUGAAUCUGGCCACACAGGCCAACAUAGCACAACUGUGUACAACUAGGGGUUACUGUAACACUCCAACUAUUAAUGGCAACUAUUCACACAGAGUUACCAUACUCGAAAGAAGUUAGCACACAGCAUACCUUCUUUAGUGUUUACACCACCCAACACAUUACAACAAACACUCUAAAAGUGACAAG